rnacentral:rRNA from 1 species
AGCUUAACUCCAUCAUGGCAGUGGAAACUGAAAGGCUUGAGUAUGGUAGGGGCAGAGGGAAUUCCCGGUGUAGCGGUGAAAUGCGUAGAUAUCGGGAAGAACACCAGUGGCGAAGGCGCUCUACUGGACCAUUACUGACACUCAGAGGCGAAAGCUAGGGUAGCAAAAGGGAUUAGAUACCCCUGUAGUCCUAGCCGUAAACGAUGGAUACUAGAUGUUGUAUAUCAUUUACAGUAUCGUAGCUAACGCGUUAAGUAUCCCGCCUGGGGAGUACGCUCGCAAGGGUGAAACUCAAAGGAAUUGACGGGGGCCCGCACAAGCGGUGGAGCAUGUGGUUUAAUUCGAUGCAACGCGAAGAACCUUACCAGGGCUUGACAUACUACAGAUCCCUUUGAGAAAAGGGAGUGCCUUCGGGAAUGUAGAUACAGGUGGUGCAUGGCUGUCGUCAGCUCGUGUCGUGAGAUGUUGGGUUAAGUCCCGCAACGAGCGCAACCCUUAUUUUUAGUUACUAAUUCGUUAGGUUCUCUAGAAAGACUGCCGGUGACAAACCGGAGGAAGGUGAGGAUGACGUCAAGUCAGCAUGCCCCUUAUGCCCUGGGCUACACACGUGCUACAAUGGUUAAGACAAAGAGUCGCGAGCUCGUGAGAGUCAGCUAAUCUCGUAAACUUUGCCUAAGUUCAGAUUGUAGGCUGCAACUCGCCUGCAUGAAGUUGGAAUCGCUAGUAAUCGCUGGUCAGCCAUACAGCGGUGAAUCCGUUCCCGGGCCUUGUACACACCGCCCGUCACACCAUGGGAGCUGGUUAUACCCAAUACCGUUUGCUUAACCAUUCGGAGAGCGGCGUCUAAGGUAGAACUAGUGACUGGGGUGAAGUCGUAACAAGGUAGCCGUA